rnacentral:rRNA from 1 species
GAUUUCUGACUUGGCGCACCUAGCCCGCCACGGUUACGUGUGUGAGUGCCGGGAUGCGCCUGUCACUUUUCUGGUAAACUAUUGUGCUCUUCAUUGAGUGUGAUAGGUAGCCAGAUAUUUUACUUUGAAAAAAUUAGAGUGUUUCAAGCAGGCUUUUGCUAUGAAUACAUUAGCAUGGAAUAAUAAUUUAGGACUUCGGUUCUAUUUUGUUGGUUUCUAGAAUUGAAGUAAUGAUUGAUAGGGAUAGUUGGGGGUGCUAGUAUUCAGUGGCCAGAGGUGAAAUUCUCGGAUUCACUGAAGACUAACUUAUGCGAAAGCAUU